rnacentral:rRNA from 1 species
UACGUAGGGUCCGAGCGUUGUCCGGAAUUACUGGGCGUAAAGAGCUCGUAGGUGGUUUGUCGCGUUGUUCGUGAAAACUCACAGCUCAACUGUGGGCGUGCGGGCGAUACGGGCAGACUGGAGUACUGCAGGGGAGACUGGAAUUCCUGGUGUAGCGGUGGAAUGCGCAGAUAUCGGGAAGAACACCUGUGGCGAAGGCGGCUCUCUGGGACGGUACUGACGCUGAGACGCGAAAGCGUGGGGAGCAAACAGG